GUCACUACUGGAAAACAGGCUAUACAAUACACCCAUAUCUAAUACGGUUGUAAAUAAAAACCGUAUUAGAAAGGGCUAAAUAAAUAUAAUACGCCCAAUUACAACAUCUAAUACGGUUAAUGAGUUGUACUAGAAACAAGAUCAAAUACCUAAAUAAAAUACGCCCCAUUUUGAAAUAAAGUACGACUCAAUACCUAAAUUGAAUACGCUGAACAAGUACUCAGCUUCCUCCUCACACACUUCUCCUCCCAACCGAACACCUUAACACCACCCUUCCUCCAUCUCUACACCGCUAAUCGGCCCUUCAUCUCUAUCUCCCCUGUGGCAACACCAUCAUCACCGGCCAGCCUGGCCUCGCACCUCCAAUAAUUUAACCAACCCACCAUCAAACCAUCAUCAUCAUACGACAAGAGCUUUGAUUUCUGUUUUUGCAACAGACAAACACAUACAGAAAUACAAAGGAACUACAACUGUUUCACGAUGGAUAAGGGAGCGUUUGUGAUCGAGAUGCAAAAUCAAAUGGUACAUCAAAGAAGGAUUAAUAGAGAAUUAAAAAGGACAAUAUGGUCAUUUUGGCAUAUCUUCCUUUGAGGAUUCCGGAUCAACAGUCUCAAAAAAUUCUUAUAGUAAUUUUGAUAGAAUUUUGAGUCAUGGAGUAGUUCAACAUCACCAUUUGUUACUUAAUCAGGGGUAAAUAUGUCAUUACAUACCAGAUCUUUCAUACAAAUAAAUGUUGUUUGGAUA